rnacentral:rRNA from 1 species
GACGAACGCUGGCGGCGUGCUUAACACAUGCAAGUCGAACGGGAAGGCCCUGCUUUUGUGGCGUACUCGAGUGGCGAACGGGUGAGUAACACGUGAGUAACCUGCCCUUGACUUUGGGAUAACUUCAGGAAACUGGGGCUAAUACCGGAUAGGAGCUCCUGCUGCAUGGUGGGGGUUGGAAAGUUUCGGCGGUGGUGGAUGGACUCGCGGCUUAUCAGCUUGUUGGUGGGGUAGUGGCUUACCACGGCUUUGACGGGUAGCCGGCCUGAGAGGGUGACCGGCCACAUUGGGACUGAGGUAAGGCCCAGACUCCUCCGGGAGGCAGCAGUGGGGAAUAUUGCACAAUGGGCGGAAGCCUGAUGCAGCAACGCCGCGUGCUGGAUGACGGCCUUCGGGCUGUAAACCGCUUUCGCCUGUGACGAAGCGUGAGUGACGGUAAUGGGUAAAGAAGCACCGGCUAACUCCGUG